AAUAAAUAUGUUAAGCGGGAUGAUGCUUAACUUCUGCCGACAGGGGAUGGGGGAUGACCUCCAAAGGCCGACAGGGGAUGGGGGCUGACCUCCAAAGGCCUUUAGGUCCAGGCUCCAAAAUUACUCAGGUGCACCUCUGACCUGAGAUCAAAAUAAGCCCUAACUUGUAAUUCUGGUACUCUGCACCUCUUCAGAAGCACUCCCAUGCAUCUCUGGUGUGGAGUAGUGUGGUUAGGACCAGGAAGAUGAAGAUUCAAAUCCAUAGUCAGCCAUGAAGCUCAGCAAGUGGACUGGUCAUUAUUUCUCAUCUGACCCUACCUGACAGGGUUGUUGUGAGGACAAAAUGAGUGGUGAGAGAACUCUAUCCGCGGUCCUGAGCUGCUUGGAGAAAGGCCAGGUUAUAAACGCAACAAGAGUACAGAUAGUCUAUUGCCAGUUCCAGAGUUGAGCCCUGGCACUGCAAAAAGGUUCCAGGAUUCAGCUCUGGGAAGCCCUCGCUCAGACUGAAGAAGCAAAGUCGGUUAUAGGGCAUUUCUUUUUGCUUGAGUCGCCGAAGAGAUUCUCCCAGCUCCAAGGAUUCUUCAUGGAGAUAACUCGGCCCCACAUACACCCCCAAUCCGUUGGCAAUCUGUCUCUACACUUGAUCACAACAAAAGCCUUUGAGUGAGAGACUUCCUUCCUGCUGGAAAAGGAUUUGUUUUGCUUGGCUGGAGCCCACUUCAGAAAAGGAAAUGCCCUUUGUGUCAACAGUUCAGCUUCGAUGCCUGUCUUGUUUGUGGCUCAGGAUCCUCCGUGAUCCUCUGGCUUAGCUAAGUCCAAUUUCUUUUCUGGAUUCACUUAUGCACACAAAUGGAAUCAUCAUCAUCAUCACCACCAUAAUACCACAAAGGAACUAUGCAAAACAUGAGCAAGGAUUGCUACAAUCCUUACGCAUCCUCUUGCCAAACCCAAGCCUGGAAAUACACUUAAAGCUCCUACAUUCUUUGGAAAUGAGCCUGCCAAAUAGCUAUUCUUCUCCUUGCCAGCUCAUAUGUUCCUCUAUAAUCCCACAUACAUUAGCUGCUACUUUUAUCAUUGCAAACUACACCUCAGUUAUUCACCCAGAGGGAUCCUGCCUCCAAAACCAGAGAAUCUCAGAGCUUGACAGAGUGAGCUUCCUUAGGUCAAGAGAAAACCACGAGCCUCCCAAAAUGUUAUUAGGAGCUAGGCCUGCUUCCAACUCUGCCAGAUUUUUACAGACCCAACCAGACUUCUAACCUCUUUGCUUGCUGCUAAGAUUUGGAACUUGACAAAGGCAUUUUAGACUCGGACCAGAACUGAUCUUCUUGAACUCUCCCAUUUCUUUGGUUGAAGGUGCAGCAGAAAAAGUCUUGUGGUGGCUCCAGCUUGGAAAACAGUCACUGCCCCACUGCGUACCUCAAACAGCCUCGAAUACAGAGGGGCGGAAUUUCUCAUAGCAAAGAAGAAUAUGCACAUGCAGAAAAAAGAUGUGUCCCCCAUCUGGAUCUUUCUUUCAAUGGCUUUCUCCUAAACCUAGAUGUUAAACUGACACGCUGCCACCUCCUCCUCCUCUUGCAGCAGUUGCUCAGAUCACCAAGGAGGCAAGGACACCACAUGCCACCGUUGGAGUUAAGAAGACAAGAAGGACCUGGCGGGAUGAGACCAAGGGGCCCGUGUAGUCCAGCAUCCUGUUUCCAACGGUAGCCAGUCAGAUGGCUCUGAGAAACCCACAAGCAGAGCAGGAAGGCAAAAACAUCUGCUUGGCAUACAGAAGGUUCAUGCUGGAGAUGCAGCUCCAGAUGGCAUCGACCUUUUGCACCAGUGACCCUAAUGACCACUAGGGGCAUUGGGAGUAGAGAUAGUUUGGGUCUCCCCCUCUCUGGAUAGAAUGUACUCAGGAACUUCCUGGGAGUGAUUUCCUCCUCCUCCUCCUCCUCCUCCUUCUUCCCAGAAUGCUCCUGGCUUUCUCUCUGAGCACCAUGCUUCUAUAGGUCUCUCUCUGGCCAACAUGUAGCCAGAGAAGUUAGAUAUAGGUCCUUUCCUAUCAUC